AGAAAGAGAAAGCGUGAGAAGGAGAGCGAUAGCGAUUCAGAAGAAUCAAGUUCAGAUGACAGCAGUAGUUCAAAUGAUUCCGAGUCAGAUUCAGAUUCAGAUAUGUUCAGUCCUUCACAGGUUUUGAAGAUGAAGGGAGAAAUGGUGCAGGUCGACCCCAGCAGUUUUUUCGGACAGGGCCCUCAAACAACAGAUACCAGUUUGGGGGCCACAAUUACAGAGGACAACAGAGCCAGAGAGGCAGAGGUUCAGCAAAGUUUCCUCUUUCCAGAAAGACAGAAAAUCAGUAGAAAUGAAGAGUGAAGAGACCCUGUGAGUCAGAGAGCUGCACAGAAAUGUCCUGGAAAAAAAUGUUAUAUUAGUAUUGAAAUUAUUAAAGGAUUGAAAUAAUAAUAUUGUGUUGUUAUAAAUCACAAUUGCAAAAUUGAAAGCAUUGUUUAGUGGUCACUCAGGUGUGUCAUUCACCUGUAAAUGGACGAGUCUAAAAAACUUUCAUAGGGGUGGUCACUUUAAACAGCUGAUUUUUGAGCUAAAUUUGAAGGCAUUGCAAUGUUAUAUCUUAUGAGUUUUCUUCAUAUAAUCAAUAUUUCAUUUCGGGCAAUAUGCCCUCAUAAAA